CAGCAAGUCCGGGAAGGCUGUUUUGUGGAAUGAGAGAUUUGGGCAAGAGUAAUUGCUUCUUUUUUGCCUCUAGCUAUGUUAGACACAUGCAGUCUCUCCCCACAGGGGAGGGAUGUCAGCAGCUGGUAUAGUGAAGCUGAGGGAAUUAAGCCUGGGUAAAAAGUUCCUAAUCUACUUCGCUCUGCUCCCUGAGGUCAGGGAUGCAGUGGCAGGCGGUCUGCAACGCUGGUUAGUGAAAGCUGGCCUGCGGGAAUGAGCACUUUCCCACCAUGCCCUGUGCUGGCAGAAGGUGCCCACACGCUGCCCAGGUGCUCAUGGGUAACACCCUCACGCCUCUGAAAGACUUGGAGGUGAAGUGCUUGCAUCAUGGUCCUCUUGUGUCCAGCUGUUUGGCUGAACCCGGGCUGGAAAAAAAAAAGCAGAAUUAUCUUGGAUCCUAAGGUUCUCUUUUCUUCACCCUCCAUAAGUUCCCUGGGACCAACUUGUAGGAUGGAGGCCUGUCACACCCGUAUUGGAGAGGCUGGAGUCCAUCUUUGCACUUGAGGGACUUGGCUUCUAAGAAAACAAGGCAAAGGAAAGUUUUGUGAAAUUCUCCAAACUGUAGGGUCACCUACAGAGCUGCCUGUUUUAUUCUAUGGUGGUUGGUUCCAGGAGGACCCUGUCGUUUGGUCAGUGGAGCCAAAAGCUGAAGAAUUUUGUUGGAGAGUCAUUGAAGAAAAAGUCAUGUUUUCUUGACUCUUUGGUGGGAGUGCUGUCUGAAGUAUCCUGGAGUUGUGACAGCGUCCUUAGUUGUCUGCCUUCUCUGCUGUUUGAAGUGCUUCAGCACUGACAACAUGGAGAGGAACUGUGAGUUCCCAGGCCAACCAGGUAACCACGCCUGUUACAUCAGUGACCUAUCAGUGUGUGUGAAAUUGAGUCUCUAGGCCCUCCUGUUCCAGAAAAGUGCAUGAGAACUUCUUGAGCUUGAUGUGUAUUCCCCGUGACAGGCUCUGGGGCUCACGAUGCAGACAAGAGGUGAGUGCUACUGCUCAGGGCCUUCUCCGACCAGAUUGGCCAUCCUCAAACUUCAGUUUGGCUCCGUCUCUUCUAGUCUCCAGCUU